rnacentral:lncRNA from 1 species
GAAAACUCAAGUGAUGAUAAUGGCCUUGAACUCCUCACAAUCAAAUUUAAAAAGUUCAUAAAACAAAAAUCCAAGAAAAAAAAUGAACUUAAAAAGAACAAAAUAACUUGCUAUGAAUGCAAUCGAUCAGGGCACUUCAAAAGCGAAUGUCCGCAAGUGAAGAAGAAGGUGCUUGCAUAAAAGAAGAAAACACUCAAGGCGACAUGGG